rnacentral:lncRNA from 1 species
ACCAAUAUCGAAUUAGCUUAAUUAGUCUUAUAAUCAAACAAAGUAAUUUAGACAAAUAGAUAUUACGUUUAAAAUAAGGAGUAAAAAGGGUCCUAAGUUUUUUAGCCUAUAGGAUCACUUCUGUGCAAUACUUGGUAAUCGUCCCCAAGUUAGGGUGCUACACAUAGAAUUAGCGCACAUGUUAUCAUAUCCUUCACUACCCGAUUAACCUCCCCAUAAUUAUUAUUACCUAAGCGCUCUAAUAGUAUCCAGUACGUGCCAUAUGCGUGCAUUACCCUUCCCUUGCCUGUGGCCCUGGAGGCGUUUAGGACCUUUAUUUAAGGAAGUUAUAGACUCGCCUGUGUUUUUUAAAAAGGAGAAAACUAAGCAAAAAAUAAAAGUUAGAUAGGACUAUCAUAUAAAGAUGCAAUUAAAGGCUCAUAUUUACUCAAAAAAUAGAUAAACAAUGGUUCACCACAAACAAACAGUUUUAAACAAUAUAAGAGUCUUAUAGUAGGAUAUCUAGAUGAGCACGACAUAUGCAUCAUUUGUAUUAAAGUGGGGUAGUAAAUACCUAAUCAGUUUGCCUACUAAUUUUAUUACUUCUUGAAUCUUUGCAGCUUCAAGCAGCAGGAAAAUAACAGUUUUACACCCAUAACUCAAUCAAGCUACAAGAUUGCCUAAAUGAUAGCCGGAUAGGAUUUUAAAAAUCAGGUGUCUAAGCUCUAAACUGAUUAUUGGUUUUAGUGAUUAAUUUUAUCUUAUACCCUGUAGGCAUGAUUUCAAUGUGCAGAACCUGAUUAAAAGAAAAACCCAUAUAGGCAUAACAUCUAAACGCAGAAAUGAUUUCAAUCUUAUUGGCAUGGUUUCUAGAAUGCAGAACUGAGUUUACAACCUUUGGACGUGGUAUCUAAAUGCAGGAACUCAUUUAAAAAACUUAAUAGGCAUAGUAUCUAAGUGCAUGAACUCAUUGAAAACCUUAUAGGAAUGGUAUCUAAAUGCAAGAACGGAUUUAAAAACUUAUAGGCACGGUAUCGAAAUGUAGGAACUCAUUUUCACACUUAUUUUCAUGAAUGAGUUUCAAUAUGUGUUUCAAUUAGGCAUGAUUUCUAGGCGAGUAAAGCAUCAAUCAAUUUCCAAGUGAACUUAAUAAAUAAAUUCUAAGAAACAUGGUUUGUAAUGCACACACAAAGGAUUUAAAGAGACGAUUAUUGAUGCAAAAUUGAGAAAUAACUUAGAAGCAGGUUUUCUAAUGAUGUGAAGGAUGAAAAUUCAGGACUUAAAGAAUUACAUGAGUCCUAUAGGCAUGUUUUCUGAUGCACAUAAGCAAAUAAACAUUGCAGCAACCUAUAGGCCUGAUUUCUACCUGUUCCCAACAAGAUAUAUAUAAGAAUCCCUCUCAAUUUUACUAAUGACUCAGAUAUCUAUUUUAUAAGGAAUUAUUAUGACGACCAAAAUAUAAACGAGUUACAAAAUCAAACUGCUAUACUAUAAGGAGAUGGUUAGGCCCAAAAGUAAUCUUAGAAGCCAAGCCUUCAACCAAGUCUGAAACAUACCAAUAUUCUCAAAGUACACCCAAUGGUUUUCUGGUGUGUCAAAGUUUCCAAGGGCCUCAUGGACCUUGGGCAAUGCUCACACCAGAAAUCUUUUAAAGAAACCUUGUUUUUAACAAGUUUUGGAGAUCCAGCCCUAGUGUGUCAUGGAUGGACUUAGAUCCUUUCAUGUAGGAGAGUCUUUGAUGGGCUUUGAAUUUGGAUAGAUCCAGUCAGAGGGGUCUCAUGGACUCCUAUGCAAUGCUCACACUGGAGGGGCAUGACCCAAGAUGUUCUAAGAGUAGCAGUUGAAAAUAGUUUGGAUUUUCUGGGGUAAAUAGGAACAAACAGAGUCUUUUCAACACAUGGGAUUCAAACAAAGAUUCCAACAAUCAAACAGAAGACUGAAACAAGAUCACAAUCACUUCAAACAAAAUAUCACAUUGCCUAGAGUAAACUUAGUUCAUUAAUUACUGCUAGACGUGCAUAUGGACAUGUAUUAAACAAAGUACAACAAGCUGGGAUCAGAUUACCAUUUAGAUAGUCAUGCAGAAAGGUAGCAAAAGUUCGAAGCAUAGAAAUCAUGAACUAAUCUGGAACCUGCUAAGGGUGAACAUUUAAAACUAAACAAGACGCAUAAUAGUUGAAAAACAAGUAGACAUGGGUCUAAUUACAUAGAAACAAGUAUGUAGGCAUGCUGAAAACAGGAAACACAUAGGCCUAAUUAAAUGGAAGUGGACAUGCUGAUUAGGAUCAGUGAACAUGUAACACGUGGAUCUAAUUAGAUAGAAGUAUGCAUGCUAAUUAUAGAAAGCACACAUAUUUAAUCACAUAGAAGUAGUCAUGCUGAAAAUAUAAAACACACAGGUUUAAUCACAUAAGAGUAGACAAGAAAUAGGAAGCACACAGGUUUAAUUAUAUAGAAGUUCAAAUGAUAGCAGAAGUCGAGACAUUCUAGUUAAGAGAUAGCAAGAGUAAAGUGAAGCAACAUGAUCCAAGGAUAUAGUCUUGGCUUUCAGCCAGCUAGAUAGUGCAACAAACAAUUAGGAAGAUUGUGGCGGAGGAUAAGAGAAAGAACUUUGUGUUUUUCUCUAUGUAUGUGUGAGUGUGUGUUUAGAAACAGAGUGAGGUUUAUAAAGCAUUGAGUAGAGUAAAGUAAAUAAGUUUAAGAAGGUUAAAUGUUUACAAAUAAGGUGAAGAUAAUAAUUAGUCAUUCAAUUAGGCUUAACAAGACCAAUAAAUAAGCAUAAUCGGGGGGUUAUGUUCAAAAUUAACAUGAAAUUGAGGUUUAAAUAAGGUCAGUGAUAAUUCUGAUAGCCAAUUAGAGUCAAAACACUAAAUAUGCGGCAAGUAAUAGGGCAAUUAGUUACACAAAUAAGGUAACACAAGUAAAUAGAGGCCAAUCUAGGUUGGUAAGACAAUCAGCCUGUAAAUUAAGCUUAAUAGGAACAAUUAAGGUAAGUAAUGCUAAUUAGGAGUCCCAAAAUAAGGAAAGUAGACAAAAAUACAUGAAGUAAUUACCUCAGUAAAACAAAGCUAUUUCGAAUCCUAGGCAAUUCAGAUAAUCAAUCAAUUACUCAAGAAUAACAUGCAAAUAUUCGUACAAUGAAGUAAUCAAACAAGCUAAAGACUAGAAUGUAGUCAUGGAAGAAUUAAUAAAAAAGGAUAAUCAAACACAUAGGAAUCUCUUAGAAAAGUUUUGCAGAAAAAAAAACGAAGUGAAACCCUAGUUAUUAAAGAAUAUUAGGAUCGAUUAAAAGUAAGGAAAAAGAAGAUCUUUAAAAAAAUUCUAUAGAAACUCGAAAUCGUUUCAGAUCUACAGAGAUAUGAACAGCAAAUAAUAAGGAAGCGAAACCCUAAUCUUGAGGGAUGUUAAAUCGAUUAACGAUGUAGAGAACAAGAGAUUUUUUAAAAAAUCUACUGGAUAAACUUAAAAUCACUUCUUACCUACUACGAUCCGAACAGAUUCAAGUUGAAAAGAUGAGGGUUUUUGAGAAUAAGAGGCGAGUUAAAUUAAAAAUCUAACCACAACCACAAAAUUGGCAAUACUCAACAAACACUGAUGAACAGAAGGCGAGUUCAUAAGAAAAGGAAGAGCCUAGGUCGACUCUGAGUCAAAUCUCUUCGAGAUUCCCUCUUAAAACAACAAGAAUUGAACAACCAGUGGAGGUAUGAAGUUAGAUAGUGUAGCAAAACACCAAAUAACCCCAUAUCACGUCAGGGAUCGAAGGGGUUUGGGUGAAUUUUGGGGUGACGGUGCUUCUAGGUUUUGGAGUGUCUGAGAGAGAAAAGAGGACGAGAACAUUUG